CUAGACAAAAGGCUAGAAGAAGUUCCAGUUAAGCUGAAAUCUUAAUUAUAUUAUACUAACAUAUUGUGUCUACCAUUUAUUGUUAUAAAGGAACCAUCAAGUUAAAGCUUGCAAAGUAAAGAUUAUUUUAAGAAGGGUUGCUCAAGAUAUUCAUGUUCGAGAAGAAAUUACAGAACCUACAUGCGAUUUUGUAGCUCCUACUUUCAGAUUUAAGCAUUUUAUAGUCUAAGUAUUCAGAGCUUCU
rnacentral:lncRNA from 1 species